UCAUAAUCACAGAAGUCAAUUUAGAUUAUAAAAAAAUAAAAUAUAAUUUUAAAUAUAUUUAAGAUCCAAUGCAUUUAUAAUGCAUGUAAUAAAAAAAUACACAUUUUACAUUUGGAUUUGGACCUGUCCAAAUGAGAUUUGUGAUGCAGACCAGCAAAUCUUGAGUGCUAGCAUCCAGCUAGUGACCCAGGGUCCUAUCAUGACUCAUUUACAUGGUGCCAUCACUCUGUUUGGUAUCAUUUGGGAAAUUUAAGUUUUAGCAAGGCUACAUGGCUUCUAGGUGCAAAUGCUGCUGCCCCAUGGAUGCCACACGGAGCUUCAACAAGGUAUCUCUAUGAGGCAGGGUCUUGUGGAACGCCUCUGCAUCGGAGUACCUAAAAAAAUAAACCAAAUAUUUGUGAUAGACUUCCUAAAAUACAAUUUUCUAAUAGCUAACACUAUCUUUAGAGAAAUGUGAUUAGAAAUCAAUAAAAUUAUGUAAACCAA